CUCGCAGCAACUGAGGGAGGCGUAAUAAGAAAACCUGACACAAACCCACACCCCAAAUAAGCAAGCAGGACCGGCCACAUUGCCUUGAUCAAAUCCUCAGCGGUUUUUGCAUUGACAAGGGCUGGGAGAUGAAUGGUUGAAGGCUCUAGUCGCUUGCAGGUUUUGAGGGCGCUAUGCUUUGGAGGAUUAAGCAAGGGGACCCAGGAGUGGAUGAUGGGAUGCCUAGGCGGCAGCAUCUCUCCUAGGUCCCAAUUCCUUGAUCAAUCAUGCUGCCUGUGUUUAUGGCGAUUGAUUUGAAUCCGGAGCCCCAGCGCCAAAACCAUGCUUUAAGAAGCUAGAUUUUAGGACAGUCUGAGGACUGACACCGGUCCAUUGGGGGGUAGGGUGAGAGGUUUGCAGGAGUGUCGGUUGGUGCAGGGUCUGCCUUGCAUUUGAUUCCUGCAGUUAUGCAGCUAAAGUAGAGAAAUGGCUUUGCUCUGGAUUGCAUUGUCGUGUCAUUUUCGUGUCCUGAUACCGCAUAAACGAUCACCUGAUCAGCAGAUCGAUUGGGGUUUCUCUAUGUAGCCCUGGCUAUCCUGAAACUCACUCUGUAGACUAGGCUGACCUCAAAUGCAGAAUUACACCUACCUUUGCCUCCCAAGUGCUGUAAUUAAAGGAGUGUGACACAACUGCCCGGCAAACUGCUGUGAAUACACAUCAUACACUGGAUGGCUAAGACAACAGAACUUUAUUUUUCUCAGCUGUAGGGACUAAGAAAUUCCAGGUCCAGUUGUUUGUAAAUGUGGUCCCUGGAGAGGGUCUACUUUCUGCAUUGCAGAUAGAAGCCUUACUGGAUAUUUACAUAGCCUUUCCCACUGUUACCAAAACAGGAAGAAGACAAAGUAGAGAGACAGAAAGACAGAGGACAGCUCUCUUUUUUACUUCACUGGCUACAGUCUCGAAUAAUGGCCCCUCCGUGUGACAUUAUCCUGGAAAUUUGAUCAAAACGUUAAGGUUACACAGUGAAACCAGUUUAUAAGAAGACCACUAUGGACAGGGAAAACUGACUAGGCAACAACUCAAUCUAAGGACCUACAUAAAGGCAACCAAGAAAUGCUGCAAACAGGAGAAAUAGUCUCCCCCAGGGAGGAGCAUACCAAUUUGUUAUCCAAUACUAACAUUCACCUCUAAAAGUCUACAUAGAAGUAACAUUACACAGAUUCAGUGGGUUGUAUUUAGAAAUGUUCUUGCAAUAGCAAUUAAUGAAAGGAGAAGUCAUGAAUUUGAAAAUAAAUGUAAGAAAAAAGAUGUUGGAGGUUUUUGAGGGAGAAAUGUUUUAAUUAUAUUACGAUCUCUAAAAUUAAAAAAAAAGAUAAAUUACUGA